UGCAAGUUCGAGCGGUAGAGAGAAGCUUGCUUCUCUUGAGAGCGGCGGACGGGUGAGUAAUGCCUAGGAAUCUGCCUAGUGGUGGGGGAUAACGUUCGGAAACGGACGCUAAUACCGCAUACGUCCUACGGGAGAAAGCGGGGGAUCUUCGGACCUCGCGCCAUUAGAUGAGCCUAGGUCGGAUUAGCUAGUUGGUGAGGUAAUGGCUCACCAAGGCGACGAUCCGUAACUGGUCUGAGAGGAUGAUCAGUCACACUGGAACUGAGACACGGUCCAGACUCCUACGGGAGGCAGCAGUGGGGAAUAUUGGACAAUGGGCGAAAGCCUGAUCCAGCCAUGCCGCGUGUGUGAAGAAGGUCUUCGGAUUGUAAAGCACUUUAAGUUGGGAGGAAGGGCAGUAACCUAAUACGUUAUUGUUUUGACGUUACCGACAGAAUAAGCACCGGCUAACUUCGUGCCAGCAGCCGCGGUAAUACGAAGGGUGCAAGCGUUAAUCGGAAUUACUGGGCGUAAAGCGCGCGUAGGUGGUUCAGUAAGUUGGAAGUGAAAUCCCCGGGCUCAACCUGGGAACUGCUCUCAAAACUGCUGAGCUAGAGUACGGUAGAGGGUGGUGGAAUUUCCUGUGUAGCGGUGAAAUGCGUAGAUAUAGGAAGGAACACCAGUGGCGAAGGCGACCACCUGGACUGAUACUGACACGGAGGUGCGAAAGCGUGGGGAGCAAACAGGAUUAGAUAC
rnacentral:rRNA from 1 species